ACUGGAGUUUGAUCCUGGCUCAGGAUGAACGCUAGCGGCAGGCCUAAUACAUGCAAGUCGAACGGGGGCUUCGGCCCCAGUGGCGAACGGUCGCGUAACACGUAAGCAACCUGCCCUGAAGUGGGGGACAACAUCCCGAAAGGGGUGCUAAUACCGCAUGUGGUCACGAGUCGGCAUCGACUUGUGUCUAAAGAUUUAUCGCUUCAGGAUGGGCUUGCGGCCUAUCAGGUAGUUGGUGGGGUAAUGGCCUACCAAGCCGACGACGGGGUAGCUGGUCUGAGAGGACGAUCAGCCGGAUUGGGACUGAGAUACGGCCAGACUCCUACGGGGGGCAGCAAUUAGGAAUCUUGCGCAAUGGGGGAAACCCUGACGCAGCGACGUCGCGUGAAGGA
rnacentral:rRNA from 1 species